rnacentral:misc_RNA from 1 species
CUGGGCAAAUCUGGUGGCCAGAGAGCGCUCGCCAGGGUCGGGCGGAGCUCGCGCAACGGGGCUUCGUCCAGCCAGGUGGGCACACUAGCAGCGCUGGCUGCGGCUGAGCGCAGGGCUGGCAAGGGGCAGGUUCAGGGGAUCUUCAGGCGAGCUCCACGCAGGGGAAGGGAGCCACCGGGGCGCUGUGUCGCUCGGCCUCUGGCCAGGACGCACGCAUCCACGGGAGGGAGCAGGCCGCUAUGUCGGGAUUCGCAGGGAGCUAGGAGUCCGCGGGGGUUGAAGACGACGAAGUCUUACCUUGCGACGACGCACGGCAGGAAGAGUCUUCCGCGGCGGUGCUCAACAGCGAACUCGGCGGGGCUCCCAGCGCGCAGCGAGCUCAAGUCUAGGCGCGACGUAUGACGAGGUGUUGGGCAGCAGCAAUGGUGGAGCUCCAGCGCGGUGAGACGCUGCGCAACGGCCAUCGCAGAUUCGCAGUGAGAGGAUUUGGGAGAGAGAGAGGGUGUAGAUGACGAGGGUCAAUGUAUUUUGAACAGGAGCGGCUUGGGCGGACGGUUUAGCGAGCGAGCCGCGACGUGGGGCGGUUCAGGCGGGGCUGAGGCAGUUGUGAGGAAGGAAAAAAAAAACAUCUGACGCGUGGGUCCCAGUCUGUAGGGACAAGGCACGGCGAGCAAGCCUCUUGCUGGGCCAGCCCCGGUACCGGGACGGGUGGGAAAA